GAUGAAGAACGUAGCGAAAUGCGAUAAGUAAUGUGAAUUGCAGAAUUCAGUGAAUCAUCGAAUCUUUGAACGCACAUUGCGCCCGCCAGUAUUCUGGCGGGCAUGCCUGUUCGAGCGUCAUUACAACCCUCAAGCCCCCCGGCUUGGUGUUGGGGACCGGCCACCGGUGCCCUGCUGCUUCCGCGGCAGGCGCACCCGGCCGCCCCCGAAAUGAAUUGGCGGCCCCGUCGCGGCCUCCCCCUGCGUAGUAGCACACAUCUCGCAGCUGGAGCGCGGCGCGGCCACUGCCGUAAAACGCACCAACUUUUUUUACAGUUGACCUCGAAUCAGGUAGGAAUACCCGCUGAACUUAAGCAUAUCAAUAAGCGGAGGA
rnacentral:misc_RNA from 1 species